rnacentral:rRNA from 1 species
CGGCAGCACGAGAGAGCUUGCUCUCUUGGUGGCGAGUGGCGGACGGGUGAGUAAUAUAUCGGAACGUGCCCAGUAGCGGGGGAUAACUACUCGAAAGAGUGGCUAAUACCGCAUACGCCCUACGGGGGAAAGGGGGGGAUCGCAAGACCUCUCACUAUUGGAGCGGCCGAUAUCGGAUUAGCUAGUUGGUGGGGGGAAGGCUCACCAAGGCAACGAUCCGUAGCUGGUUUGAGAGGACGACCAGCCACACUGGGACUGAGACACGGCCCAGACUCCUACGGGAGGCAGCAGUGGGGAAUUUUGGACAAUGGGGGAAACCCUGAUCCAGCCAUCCCGCGUGUAUGAUGAAGGCCUUCGGGUUGUAAAGUACUUUUGGCAGAGAAGAAAAGGUACCUCCUAAUACGAGGUACUGCUGACGGUAUCUGCAGAAUAAGCACCGGCUAACUACGUGCCAGCAGCCGCGGUAAUACGUAGGGUGCAAGCGUUAAUCGGAAUUACUGGGCGUAAAGCGUGUGUAGGCGGUUCGGA